rnacentral:rRNA from 1 species
UACGUAGGGUGCGAGCGUUAAUCGGAAUUACUGGGCGUAAAGCGUGCGCAGGCGGUGAUGUAAGACAGGUGUGAAAUCCCUGGGCUCAACCCAGGAACUGCGUCCGAUACUGGAAGGCUUGAAUCCGGGAGAGGGAUGCGGAAUUCCAGGUGUAGCGGUGAAAUGCGUAGAUAUCUGGAGGAACACCGGUGGCGAAGGCGGCAUCCUGGACCGGUAUUGACGCUGAGGCGCGAAAGCCAGGGGAGCAAACGGG